UACGAAGGGGGCUAGCGUUGUUCGGAAUUACUGGGCGUAAAGCGAACGUAGGCGGUGUUCCAUGUCAGGUGUGAAAGCCCACGGCUUAACCGUGGAAGUGCAUUUGAAACUGUAAAGCUUGAGUAUGGGAGAGGAUGGUAGAAUUCCUGGUGUAGUGGUGAAAUACGUAGAUAUCAGGAGGAAUACCGGUGGCGAAGGCGGCCAUCUGGCCUAAUACUGACGCUGAGAUGCGAAAGUGCGGGGAUCAAACAGG
rnacentral:rRNA from 1 species